rnacentral:rRNA from 1 species
UACGGAGGGGUGCAAGCGUUUAUCCGGAUUUACUGGGUUUAAAGGGUGUGUAGGCGGGCAUUUAAGUCUGGGGUGAAAUCUCCGAGCUCAACUCGGAAACUGCCUUGGAUACUAUUUGUCUUGAAUUAUGUUGAGGUUGGCGGAAUAUAACAUGUAGCGGUGAAAUGCAUAGAUAUGUUAUAGAACACCGAUUGCGAAGGCAGCUAACUAAGCAUAUAUUGACGCUGAGGCACGAAAGCGUGGGGAUCAAACAGG